rnacentral:rRNA from 1 species
AACGAACGCUGGCGGCAGGCUUAACACAUGCAAGUCGAACGCAUGCCUUCGGGCAUGAGUGGCAGACGGGUGAGUAACGCGUGGGAACCUACCCCUUGGUACGGGAUAGCUCCGGGAAACUGGAGAUAAUACCGUAUGUGUCCUGAGGGACAAAGAUUCAUCGCCAAGGGAUGGGCCCGCGUCGGAUUAGCUAGUUGGUGGGGUAACGGCCUACCAAGGCGACGAUCCGUAGCUGGUCUAAGAGGAUGAUCAGCCACAUUGGGACUGAGACACGGCCCAAACUCCUACGGGAGGCAGCAGUGGGGAAUAUUGGACAACGGGCGCAAGCCUGAUCCAGCCAGGCCGCGUGAGUGAUGAAGGCCCUAGGGUUGUAAAGCUCUUUCACCGGUGACGAUAAUGACGGUAACCUGAGAAGAAGCCCCGGCUAACUUCGUG